rnacentral:lncRNA from 1 species
AUGGGAACUAGUGCAAUCUGGAGGCAGCCUGGUCUGUGGGACGGGGGCAGGACGGGGCAGCCUGGGACGGGGCAGCCUGGUCUGUGGGACGGGGGCAGCCUGGUCUGUGGGACGGGGGCAGCCUGGUCUGUGGGACGGGGGCAGCCUGGUCUGUGGGACGGGGGCAGCCUGGUCUGUGGGACGGGGGCAGCCUGGUCUGUGGGACGGGGGCAGCCUGGUCUGUGGGACGGGGGCAGCCUGGUCUGUGGGACGGGGGCAGCCUGGUCUGUGGGACGGGGGCAGCCUGGUCUGUGGGACGGGGGCAGCCUGGUCUGUGGGACGGGGGCAGCCUGGUCUGUGGGACGGGGGCAGCCUGGUCUGUGGGACGGGGGCAGCCUGGUCUGUGGGACGGGGGCAGCCUGGUCUGUGGGACGGGGGCAGCCUGGUCUGUGGGACGGGGGCAGCCUGGUCUGUGGGACGGGGGCAGCCUGGUCUGUGGGACGGGGGCAGCCUGGUCUGUGGGACGGGGGCAGCCUGGUCUGUGGGACGGGGGCAGCCUGGUCUGUGGGACGGGGGCAGCCUGGUCUGUGGGACGGGGGCAGCCUGGUCUGUGGGACGGGGGCAAGCCUGGUCUGUGGGACGGGGGCAGGACGGGGCAGCCUGGUCUGUGGGACGGGGGCAGCCUGGUCUGUGGGACGGGGGCAGCCUGGUCUGUGGGACGGGGCAGCCUGGUCUGUGGGACGGGGGCAGCCUGGUCUGUGGGACGGGGCAGCCUGGUCUGUGGGACGGGGGCAGUCACAGAGUCAAAUAGGGAGAACACAGUAG